rnacentral:rRNA from 1 species
UACGAAGGGGGGCUAGCGUUGUUCGGAAUUACUGGGCGUAAAGCGUGCGCAGGCGGCUUCUCAAGUCAGGGGUGAAAGCCCAGAGCUCAACUCUGGAAUUGCCUUUGAGACUGAGUGGCUUGAGUACGAGAGAGGUGAGUGGAAUUCCCAGUGUAGAGGUGAAAUUCGUAGAUAUUGGGAAGAACACCGGUGGCGAAGGCGGCUCACUGGCUCAUUACUGACGCUCAGGCGCGAUAGCGUGGGGAUCAAACAGG